UCGUAGGUACCCGUCUCGGUC
rnacentral:sRNA from 1 species